CCAAAGACUGGCUGAACAGGGCUGACCUCCAGCCAGAACCAGGGAACAGCCAGCCCCAGAUGCUGAGAUACCAGGGGUGGCAUAUGGCACUGAGUGUGGACAGUCGGGAUCCUGGACUUCUUGGCUCACAUCAGCCACUUACCUGCUAGUGCCUUUGAGCAAUCGCUCCCCCCCCCCUUUAUAAAGUGGGCACACAUGAGGCACCCCAGCUUGCUGGGUGGGAUAGCCACACAGGCCUCUCCCACGCUCUGGUCGGAGCCAGGAUGGAGCGAAGCGAUGUGGGCACUUAGCACACACCCCACAGGCGUGAGUGUACCACAGCCAGCUGUCAGGACGAGGAGGAUGACGAAGGGGUAAGUCCAGGGACCCGGGGGGCCCUAACCCAGACUGCAGGGCUUCUGUUCAAGGAGGAGGUGAGUCCAAGCUGCGGGAGGAGUAGAGGUUAGGCCCCCUGGGGAGGCAGGAGGGCGCAGCAGGGUGCCAGGAGGAAGGAGGAGCAGGUGCAGGGGCCUGGAGCCGUGGAGAGGAGUCUGAGAUGGAGCCUCUGGGAGGAGCAGAAGCCAGACUGCGAAGGGCUCCCCUGCAGGCCAAGGAGCUCAGCCUUCUCCUGGGGCGCCCGGGCCUGUCACCAGGAGCCCCGGGAAGCAUCCCCUUGGAGAGGCGCCUGAUGGACCUGUCACCACAGUGCCAUCCCGCCCGGCCGGCCCCUCACACUCGCGGGGUAAUCUGCUUUCACUGGGAACAUUGUCCUUCAGCCUCCCCAGCUCGGCUCAGAGCAGGGAGGGCGGGGCGCGCAGGGCUGAGAAGCUGCUUUCUUCACCGAACAAAUGACCUUGGGCCAGGAGCCGGAACAGCCUGGCGAGAAUUCAAACAGCCUGGGCCCGGCAGCCCUGGGCUCGCAGCCCCUCUUCCACAGGCAUCCCAGACAUCUUGGGGUUCCUACACAUGGCCAGGCCAGGAAAUGACCAUAGGGCUGGAGGCUCCUGGAGAGCAGUCGACGUGCCGUCCGCACCCAGUGCCCCCCUCCAAGCCCCCACACUGCCCAGCCUCAGAAAACAUGGAUGGAAGGACUGGGAUGCAGAGAGCUGUUCCCAUCUGUCAGAAUGCUGAUGUGGGCUCGUCUCCUCCCGACAAGGCAGAAUGAUGAUAAGAGGGCGGCUCAUGUGGCAGAUGCUGAAGGCUUGGUGUCCAGCAAGAGCAGAGGCAGUCCCUGUUCUCACAGGACAGUGGCUCGAAUCAAGGAACCACACGUGCAGGCUGAGGCUCCGUGAGAACGAGGACCGCGUCCGUGUGGUCCACCACCUUCAUCCCAGCACCUGGCCCGGUGCCCCGGGACGGGCUCGAUACGGCCUUCUUGAAUUAGUGAAUUGAUCAGUAAAUUAAUAUUGCGUACCAGGCAACACUCACUCAACAAAUAUAUUAUUACGUUCAAUUUGGCCUCUGUUCUUGCU